rnacentral:lncRNA from 1 species
UUCCUCAGUAGGGUUGAUUUUCUGUUUUGAUCUUCAGCAGAGUAAGAUCGAUUUCCCCAGUAGAUCGCGUUGGUUUCUCCGCUAUUAGCCAUCCGACUCGCUCCCAGUCAGAGUUUUUACCUGGUUUCUGAGCAGCUAUUUGUGUUUAUCCUCUGUAUGGUUGUCCUUCAUUUUAUAUGGUUUUGACCUAAACUUCCCUAUAGACUCGAUAAUAUUUCCUUUCCUCAUCAGAUCUUCUCUUUCCCCAGAUAUUGUUGAGCCUUUGG